UGGAAUUUCAAAGUCAAUGUGCUAUGUUUGAAUGCACUAAUAAAAUGCUCUUUUCUUAUUAUGUGCUUCUGUAAAGUUUCAUUUCUUGCAUUGAUAGCAUUGGUUAACUAUUUAUAUGAGUUUUUCACUUUUGUUAGCUCUACCUUCAAUUAGCAUUAAUGUAAAUGUUGUCCUCUUAAGACAUUGAAUGAGCCAAUGCAAGGUGUUAAUUAAUAUUUCCUGAGUCACUUAUCCUUGGGAUUUACUGGCAAUAGGUUUGAUAAAUUUUUUUUUGGGUGUUUCUUUUCUAUUUUUGUUCAACGAUGUGAUGCAUUCUGGGGAGAGUUGUAGUGUUGUACUAUCUUAAGUUUCAACCUCUUUUAAAGCACACUCUCAAUUAGGGGUGGCCACGGUUGAGGAAUCGCCGGUUUAGGUUCAAUGA
rnacentral:misc_RNA from 1 species